GACGAACGCUGGCGGCGUGCUUAACACAUGCAAGUCGAGCGGUAAGGCCCUUUCGGGGGUACACGAGCGGCGAACGGGUGAGUAACACGUGGGUGACCUGCCCUCAGCUCUGGGAUAAGCCUGGGAAACUGGGUCUAAUACUGGAUAUGACUCCACGGUGCAUGUCGUGGGGUGGAAAGCCUUGUGCGGCUGAGGAUGGGCCCGCGGCCUAUCAGCUUGUUGGUGGGGUGAUGGCCUACCAAGGCGACGACGGGUAGCCGGCCUGAGAGGGCGACCGGCCACACUGGGACUGAGACACGGCCCAGACUCCUACGGGAGGCAGCAGUGGGGAAUCUUGCGCAAUGGGCGAAAGCCUGACGCAGCGACGCCGCGUGAGGGAUGACGGCCUCGGUU
rnacentral:rRNA from 1 species